rnacentral:lncRNA from 1 species
AGGACAUGGGCAGGAAAAAUAAGGGAAUAAGAGCUGCUUACCCCAGCCAGCAACGGCAAACAGCGCAGGUCCGCUUCCCGUCUGUGGAAGCUUUGUUCUUUCGCUCUUGACAAUAAAUCUUAAUGCUGCUCUCUCUUUGGGUCCAUGCCAUCUUUAAGAGCUGUGACACUUACAGCCAAGGUCCGGGGCUCCAUUCUUGAAGUCAGCGAGACCACGAAUCCACCGGAAGGAGCAAACUCUGGACAUGGCAUGUGCUUUUGCAGGAAGGACGCUGGACUCUUGCACUAUAAGUUGAAAACAUCGCUUAUAAACAAUACAUCACAGCACACUUGCAGAGAGAGCACUGGUUCAUCAAAAUAAGAUAUGAUCAAGGUACAAAAGAGUUAAAGAAGCUAUUUAUUUUAAUGUUUCCUUGGAGAGCACACUUGUUAUUAUGCCUGCCCCAGCUUUGCCUUCCACCAUGAGUAAAAGCUUCCCAAGUCCUCCCCAGAAGCAGAUGCUGGCGCUAUGCUUCUGGUACAGCCUGAAAAACCUUGAGCCAAUUAAACCUCAGUGAGCUCAAGAUGUCUUUGUUGAAACAGAACCUCCCGAAGUUACAGUAUUGGUUUUGGGGCUCCACACAGAGAACACAUCACGGAAGCUAUAAUUGAGGAAGACAAAGCUGUCAGGACGACACCAAGAGAGUUAGAAAGCCCAAGAGUGGAGCAUUCUUCACCAUGAUUCCACCUGACACUUGGCUGAAAGCAUUUUGCACUAAUUUGCUUUGUGCCCGUUCAGACAAUCUAAAAAGAAAGGAUGGGGGGACAACAAGUGUCUAUUACACAGAAUAAACAGCCUCUGGCAAAUGAAUACAU